GACGGAGGAUGCAAGCGUUAUCCGGAAUGAUUGGGCGUAAAGCGUCCGCAGGUGGCAGUUCAAGUCUGCUGUCAAAGACCGGGGCUUAACUUCGGAAAGGCAGUGGAAACUGAACAGCUAGAGUAUGGUAGGGGCAGAGGGAAUUCCUGGUGUAGCGGUGAAAUGCGUAGAGAUCAGGAGGAACACCCGUGGCGAAGGCGGCCUUCUGGGUCCGCCCUGACGCUGAGGCGCGAAAGCGUGGGGAGCGAACGGG
rnacentral:rRNA from 1 species